rnacentral:rRNA from 1 species
CCUACGUGAGGCAGCAGUGGGGAAUAUUGCACAAUGGGCGAAAGCCUGAUGCAGCAACGCCGCGUGAGCGAUGAAGGCCUUCGGGUCGUAAAGCUCUGUCCACAAGGAAGAUAAUGACGGCACUUGAGGAGGAAGCCCCGGCUAACUACGUGCCAGCAGCCGCGGUACCACGUAGGGGGCUAGGGUUAUUCGGAAUUACGGGGCGAAAGGGGAGCGUAGGUGGUUUCUUAAGUCAGAGGGAAAUGGCUACGGCCCACCCGUAGUGAGCGUUUGAAACUGGGGAACUUGAGUGCAGGAAAGGAAAGUGGAAUUCCUAGUGUAGCGGUGAAAUGCGUAGAUAUUAGGAGGAACACCAGUUGCGAAGGCGGCUCUCUGGACUGUAACUGACACUGAGGCACGAAAGCGUGGGGAUCAAACAGGAUUAGAUACCCUGGUAGUC